GGUUCAGAAGCCAUUUCUAGAAGAGGCAAUAAUAAGGCCAUGCAGAGGACCCCAUCCAGAAACUCCCAUUCAAGUAGUCACGGUACUGCAAACUGUUACAGG
rfam:Pteropus alecto contig37071, whole genome shotgun sequence.